rnacentral:rRNA from 1 species
CUUGGUCAUUUAGAGGAAGUAAAAGUCGUAACAAGGUUUCCGUAGGUGAACCUGCGGAAGGAUCAUUAUUGAAAUAAACCUGAUGGGUUGUUGCUGGUUCUCUAGGGAGCAUGUGCACACCUUGUCAUCUUUAUAUCUCCACCUGUGCACCUUUUGUAGACCUUUCAGGUCUAUGUUGCUUCAAUUACCCCAAUGUAUGUUAAUAGAAUGUUGUGCCUAUAUAAUAUAUACAACUUUCAGCAACGGAUCUCUUGGCUCUCGCAUCGAUGAAGAACGCAGCGAAAUGCGACAAGUAAUGUGAAUUGCAGAAUUCAGUGAAUCAUCGAAUCUUUGAACGCACCUUGCGCUCCUUGGUAUUCCGAGGAGCAUGCCUGUUUGAGUGUCAUUAAUAUAUCAACCUUCUCUUUUUGAGUGGUUUGGAUGUGGGGGUUUGCUGGCCUCUUAAAAAGGUCUUGGCUCUCCUGAAAUACAUUAGCAGAACAACCCUGUUCAUUGGUGUGAUAACUAUCUACGCUAUUGAAUGUGAAGGGCUGUUUGGCUUUCUAACAGUCCUUGGACAAGCUCAUCAUUAACGUGACCUCAAAUCAGGUAGGACUACCCGCUGAACUUAAGCAUAUCAAUAAGCGGAGGA